rnacentral:rRNA from 1 species
AUUGAACGCUGGCGGCAGGCCUAACACAUGCAAGUCGAGCGGAGCGGCGGACGGGUGAGUAAUGCCUAGGUAUCUGCCUGGUUGUGGGGGAUAACGACCGGAAACGGGCGCUAAUACCGCAUACUCUCUGUUGAGCCUAGGUGGGAUGAGCUAGCUGGUGGGGUAAAGGCCUACCAAGGCGACGAUCCGUAACUGGUCUGAGAGGAUGAUCAGUCACACUGGAACUGAGACACGGUCCAGACUCCUACGGGAGGCAGCAGUGGGGAAUAUUGGACAAUGGGCGAAAGCCUGAUGCAGCCAUGCCGCGUGUGUGAAGAAGGUCUUCGGAUUGUAAAGCACUUUAAGUUGGGAGGCGUUACCAGCAGAAUAAGCACCGGCUAACUUCGUGCCAGCAGCCGCGGUAAUUC